rnacentral:lncRNA from 1 species
AUGGUGACAGAGAAUGCCCCUUGGAUCAGAAGAGCUUUGAUGUCAUGCAACAUGGGGCACUGUGUCCCAGCACGGAGGAACGUGACCAAGACACACCUCAACAGCUGCUUCUCCUUUCUGUUGUUGAUGACCAGGCAUUUUUUUUCGUCGAAUCACCUGGGACAGGCCAGGGAUCACCUCUCCGUGCAGGAAUCUGACUGGAGCCUCUCUCCUCUGCUCCCUGGACAUGGUUAUGAGACACACAGGACACAUCUACCUCACUGGACACAGAAAAACUCUCUUUAGCAUUCAUUCUCGAAAAUAUCAUUUGACUCUAUCAGCUCUACCUGGGCAUUCAGUGUUUACACUUACAUUGAGGACUGCAGCAGCUGUGAGGAGAUUACACCAUGCUGUUGUCUGUCUCAGACCUGGGGAAGGUGCAGGCAGUUGGGGGCAGAAGAGGUCGAAAUGCUGGAACCAAUGAUGAGGCUUUUGUCUGUCCCCUUGUUGCCUGCCCUGCCUGCUUGUAUCUAUCAUCGAUGUAUCAGUUAUCUUUCUGCACGUCUCCAGAGCAACGAAGGCAAACGGAAUCGUGACAAGUCCCUUUCAGUCAACACCUGAGUCGACCUUACUGAUGUGAUUUUUGAAGGUCUCUAGAUAAUCCUGGGGUGGUGGCCAGUUGCCGGGGGAACCAACCAGAUGCUCGGAGGAUUUCGACUCAUGGCCCCAUCUCUGGAGAGCGGCUGAGGCCAAGUUGACCACCAAGGGCCAAUAGCCUCCUCCCUCAUGGCUCCCUAGUGAAGCCUCUACACUCUGCCCCCCCACCAAGGCCGAGUUCAGGGGCUUCCAGGAAGCUCAACAAGAACCCAGUCUCGUGCCUGGAGGCUGGCACACCCUAUCCAGCAGGCAGCAGCUCCUGUGCUCAGGCCUCUCCCAGGCCUGGCUGUAAGAUCCCUCCAUCUGGCUGUCAGCUGUGUCCUUUAAAGUAUCUUCUGUGAUGAACCAGUAGAUACGUUUUCCUCAGAUCUGUGAGUUGGUCUAGAAAAUUAAUAGAACCCAAGUGGGGGUGGGGUCACAGGAACCCCAGGCAAAACAAUCUGGAGCCUGCGACUGGCCCUGCAGGCUGGGGAGCUCCAUGGGACCGAGCCUCACCUCCGGGUGAAGGAGUCCAGCUGGAUUGAAAGA